rfam:Triticum aestivum genome assembly, contig: Triticum_aestivum_CS42_TGACv1_scaffold_405896_5BL
CUUGUACUCCCUCCGUCCGAAAAUACUUGUCAUUGAAAUGGAUGUAUCUAAAUGUAUUUUAGUUCUAGACACAUCCAUUUUGAUGACAAGUAAUUCCGGACGGAGGGAGUACUUG